ensembl:miRNA MIR448 microRNA 448
GCGGGGAGGUUGAACAUCCUGCAUAGUGCUGCCAGGAAAUCCCUAUUUUAUACUAAGGGGGGGUUGGCUGGUUGCAUAUGUAGGAUGUCCCAUCUCCCCACCCACAUCAUC